GUACGUGCUGGAGAUAAUAAAGACAAAAUGAAAAUAUAUGAGAUAAAGGAAUUUAAGAAGGUUGCUGGUUUUCCAAGACUUAAUCAAGGAUGCUCCACUGAAACUUGCUUGUGCUUCAGCAACUAAUUCAUGGAACUCAAAAAUAAUCCACAGACUGCACUGAAGUCAACAGACAUGCUGAAGAAAAACCUGCAGAAGAUAUCUGACAGCAUUUUAAGAGAUCAUAGAAUAUCUCAAGUUGGAAAGGAUCCACGAGGAUAACUGAGUCCAAGUCUCUGCUCCUCACAGGACUACUUAAAACUAAACCAUAUGACUAAAAACAUUGUCCAGAUGUUCCUCAAACUCUGACAGGCUUGGUGCCUGGGGAGCCUGUUGCAGGGUCUAACCACCCGCUCAGUGAAGAACGUUUUCCCAAGUCCAAUCUGAACUUCCCCGAUGCAGGUCCAUUCCAUUUCUGUGUGUCUUACUGCCAGUCAUCAGAGAGAGAUCAGCACCUCCCCCUCCUAUCUAAAGUAUAAACAAUGAACAGUAUAAUUUUACAAGCAUAAACCCAUACAUUUUGCAAGCUUUAUUAUAUCUUUGUGUUUUAUUACAUUAGAAGUGUUGUUCAAAUUUGAUGUGAAAACAUAUGCUGGCAAAUCCAAACUUAAAAUAAUCAAUUAAUUUUGCUCACAAGAUGCUGAUCUAAUUGGCCGUUGUCUGCAUAAUAUGGAAGCCUUCAACUUCUAGCAUAGGUGGGUGACUGCUCUAAGUCCAUAUAUAGAUAGAAAUAUUACCUCUUCCUCAAGGAGUUCACAACAGAUAAAUAAGAAAAAUAAAAUAUCAUUCUGAAGGCUUACCUUUUGU